rnacentral:sRNA from 1 species
GGGUACACUUUGUGCCAUACACACACACAUAUACAUAGAUAUGUCUAUAUAAUAUAUAUAAAAACAUAGUAGUGACUCCGAGAGAAGAGCUUGGCUGAUAUUUUCUCUUCUUUUGUUUGAAGAAGUGAUUAGGAAAUGGCCUGCUGGCCGCCACAAUGGGAAAAGAUCAGGAACUAUUAUCACUACAACAAAUAGCCACCCUCCCUUAAAGCAAUUAGAGGAAAUUUAUAAUCUCAAUAAAACAAUUUGAUUUUGGAUAUUAAGCAGUUUUCUGAGAUAAUAUCACUUAAAUAUAACAUGAUUGGUAACAUAUUUAUGUUGAUAUUUUUAAUUCUUUUUACUUCUAGGCCACAGACAAUUAAAAGACCUUUAAAUCCUUUGGCUUCUGGUCAAGGGAAAAGUGAAGAGAACACUUUUUACAGUUGGCUAGAAGGUCUCUGUGUAGAAAAAAGAGCAUUCUACAGACUUAUAUCUGGCCUACAUGCAAGUAUUAAUGUGCAUUUGAGUGCAAGAUAUCUUUUACAAGAGACCUGGUUAGAAAAGAAAUGGGGACACAACAUUACAGAAUUUCAACAGCGAUUUGAUGGAAUUUUGACUGAAGGAGAAGGUCCAAGAAGGCUUAAGAACUUGUAUUUUCUCUACUUAAUAGAACUAAGGGCUUUAUCCAAAGUGUUACCAUUCUUCGAGCGCCCAGAUUUUCAACUCUUUACUGGAAAUAAAAUUCAGGAUGAGGAAAACAAAAUGUUACUUCUGGAAAUACUUCAUGAAAUCAAGUCAUUUCCUUUGCAUUUUGAUGAGAAUUCAUUUUUUGCUGGGGAUAAAAAAGAAGCACACAAACUAAAGGAGGACUUUCGACUGCAUUUUAGAAAUAUUUCAAGAAUUAUGGAUUGUGUUGGUUGUUUUAAAUGUCGUCUGUGGGGAAAGCU